GUGAGACAGGUGCUGCAUGGCUGUCGUCAGCUCGUGUUGUGAAAUGUUGGGUUAAGUCCCGCAACGAGCGCAACCCUUAUCCUUUGUUGCCAGCGGUCCGGCCGGGAACUCAAAGGAGACUGCCAGUGAUAAACUGGAGGAAGGUGGGGAUGACGUCAAGUCAUCAUGGCCCUUACGACCAGGGCUACACACGUGCUACAAUGGCGCAUACAAAGAGAAGCGACCUCGCGAGAGCAAGCGGACCUCAUAAAGUGCGUCGUAGUCCGGAUUGGAGUCUGCAACUCGACUCCAUGAAGUCGGAAUCGCUAGUAAUCGUGGAUCAGAAUGCCACGGUGAAUACGUUCCCGGGCCUUGUACACACCGCCCGUCACACCAUGGGAGUGGGUUGCAAAAGAAGUAGGUAGCUUAACCUUCGGGAGGGCGCUUACCACUUUGUGAUUCAUGACUGGGGUGAAGUCGUAACAAGGUAACCGUAGGGGAACCUGCGGUUGGAUCACCUCCUUACCUGAAAGAAGC
rnacentral:rRNA from 1 species